UAGCUAUUUAAAGUUCACUCCUCAACACCACAGAAGAGACAUUUCCACAGGACGCAUCAGGACUGAAGCCCGCCUAAUUCGAGAAGGAGGCGUACUACUGGUGGGUGUGACGGCUGAAGUCCUCUCUGAAACGGUCCACUCCAAUCUUUACAAGAACUUUUCAUCAUGGGCGUAAAGAUGCUGCAGUGUUUUCCCUUCUACAGACAUUGUAAAGAGCGAUGCAAAAGCAAACAGUGCCCCCCCAGCGGAAGCCAAAGAGGAGAUGGAGCCCCGCCUGGCCUCCACCACGUCCUGGGCAGCGACAGUGAAGGAGUGGGCAGCCUUGGUCGGGGAUCCCAUGUCUACUUCUCCUCUAAAGCCAGGUUGUCUUUCCGACACCAGCUGGACAGCAAUGUCAACGCGGUGGAUGCCACCUACUGAGGAGCACUGAUGGACUCCCAAAUAUUUGGAGCGCUUCACAGGACGUCCACGUGAUGAAUGUUAGCACCACCCCCGAUGGAACUUUUCCUCAAAAGACAUUAGACAUGGAGAUGAGUUUACAGAUGACUACCAAGUGCAUUAUUCUUCUUUUUCUUUAUUUUGUUGACUAACAACAAAAGCUUUUUUCUAUAUUUAAAGAGAAAACGCAAUGCAAAUAGAGGUUAUAUAUUUCAGAUGACACUAAUAAUUAUUUUCAACCCUUUUCUAUGCUUGUAUUUAAUUUUGAAUAACAAUAGACUAUUUUUUAAAUGAAACAAAUGUGACCAAUGUGGUGAAACAAAAAUAUGUUUAUUGUUUGACUAAUUUGCAGCAGAUAAAAGUAAAGACUAGUGUGUUCCUUCCAAUUCACUCGUUCAUGUCCCACACAAGAUCAAAGCAAAGACUUGGGAUCUAGAUGUGUAAAAAAUAGAUUACGGUCAUGGACGUAACCUGUGAUAAGACAAUCGAUCAUAGAUAUAUUGGUAGAAAGUAGGUGAAGGACAAACAUACAUAUACGUUGAAUGAAAUAAUUUUAUAUAAAAAUAGACCUUUAUGUAAGAAAAUUUCAGAAUUUGAUAAAAGAAAAAAGGAUUCAUCUAAUGUGUUAUGUCUUAUGUGUACACUUUACAUUUUAAAAGUGGACACGUGGAACAACGUGGUAAAUUUCUCGACUUUUUACCAUACAGCGCAAAGUAAAAGGACAUGUGCAAUGACAACAAAUCUUACUCUAUUCUAUGUCUACACAAAGGCCAAGCUACAAAAUGAAUUGCUCAUAGUUUAAAUGCUAACCUUCCUUUGACCUUUGCAGUACGAAAUAACUAAUGAUCCGGACAUUUAAACCCAUUUUUCAAGAUCACACAUUUGCGCUGUGUCUCGAUUUGUGACACAUACCACAUAAUCAUUAUCUUGGCCAACCCUUGCUACUAACUCGAGUGGUUGCAAUUCACAAUUAAUACAAACUGUUGUGCAACAACCGUAAUUGCUUUGGAACUACAGUAUGUACGUAGUGUACACAGUAGACUUAUUGAAGUGUACUGACUUAAGUAUUUGAUUUGAGACACAGCCUUGAAAACAAAAAGUAACGCAGCUUGUGGCACGUUCAGUCUCGCUCUUCUUCAAACGACAUAGAGUAAGAGCAGUCAAAUGUUAAAAAGACAACUUGUGAAAUUCAUCAACGGUUUAAAUAUGUGGAACUUGGAGAAACGCUAAAAAGGUUUGACUUGCCAACAUUGGCUUACCGCUACUGUAAAGUCUAUCCAUCCAUUAAUUUUCUACCACUUGUCCCUCUCUGGGUCGCGGCAGAACUGGAGCCUAUCCCAGCUGAACUCUGGUAUUAUAAAAAAAAAAAAAAAGAUCAAUUAUGUGGUGUCUGCAUAUUUUUGGGUUUGGAGAUGACGCCGUCUGGGUAGCGGUCCUUGAAGCGGGCCACCACCUCUGGAUCCAGGAGAUGAAUGCCAUCUAGCUGGUUGCCGAGUGUAACCCUGGAGAAGAAGGUGAGGUAAAAAGAAGGAUAUAAGACGCUGAGAUCCACACUUUUAGGGCAUACUCUCACUUGGCCAUUUAAGCCGCGCCUGGGCCCACUUUACACCCAAAGUCCACCACAAUUACCCUCCUUUGGUACAAUUGAAAGGAGUGGCAUAGGGUUCGGUACGUUUCUGUUCAAUGUAUCGGGGUCACAGAAUGAUUGUAAUUCGAUUGCUUCUUGUAGCUUAUUAAUGAUAACCGGCACAAUGAAAUAGAAAGUCUCAAAAUCGUCAUAAGGACUUCAGGACAUCAUUUAUAUUUAUGCAAUCACUCCUCUUGCAAGUACAUAAAGACAGCCGCUAUCUUGCAAUAAACAGUUUCUAAAUAAGACUGGGAAUUAUCCAUAUAGUCUGAGAAGUUAAAAUAAUCGAAGUGAUGGGACAAAUAAAUGAGUGGUAGCGCAAAUAUUCAGUGUGAGCGCAGGCCAGUAGAGGGAGGGGGAAUUGAACCCAAGUGUAGCACAAUGCGAAUGGUCCAGCAUGAGUAUACUGUAAGAGAGCUAGAGUUUGCGUUUAAAGUAGGGACGCACUGAUCAAUUGGCUACCGAUCAGUAAAGGCCGAUUUGCGUGAAAAAGUCUGUUGCAGAUUCAUGCAUUUUAGUGCUGAUCGAAAACGCAGAUACCCUCUGGCUGACACUAUUUUAGUCCUUCGGCUGACAAGCAGCUAGCAGCUAAAUAACCUUAUAGUGUGGAGCUGCUCCUACAAAUAUUAAUAAUAAUCACCUCCAUUACGUCAAAUAGACUGAAUUUCUUAGCAUCUUAAGUAUCAUUAUCAAGUGGCAAGCAUGUUACACACCAAAAGCAAGCCAGAAGUAGGCAUGCUAAAAGCUAAGCAAACUACUAAGUUAGUUCUAAACAACACCAAGAAAUAGUUAUAAUAAAGUCGAAAUAGUGUAGAUGAAAAUGUUUUACAGCAGAAAGUAAGCAGAUAUCAACAGGAAAUAACAAGUAGAUUAAUAAGAGUCUAGAGAAAGAAUAAUUGUACGACAACUGUUGAUGUAUCAGCGUUGUCGCAGCCGGUACACGACACAAAACAGGAGGGCGGAUGGCUUCAUUAUUUGGUGGUGUCAAUUAGGGUCGGGAUUUCCACUUUCGAUUCUGCUUCACGAUUCAGUUCUUUAUCGGUUCUCUUAUCGAUUCUCAUUUGAAUAAAAGGAUAACAAACAAGUUGAUUAGCGCUACCUUUGUUUAGUUUAGAAUAAACAUGAAUGUACAAACGCAACAGUGAGGUCUUAAAAAUAACUAAUUAUGGGCCUGCUGCGAUGCAAGCACCUAUUCACAUUCUGCAAAGCAUAGCAAGCAGCCCAUAUACUGUAAUUAUUGCUCAUACUUCAAUUUUUAUUUUAGUUUUUCUAUCCUAAACUCUCACGUUUAAUAUGGCGCAAACCGGCGAACAAACCUCUACAUAUCUUACUGUAUAUCAUCAAAGGUCUCGAUGGUGGCUACGCCUGAACUUUUUUGGAACAUUUCGUGUUACCACGGCGAUGCAUUCAGAAAAAAUUAUUCUAUAGGCCCAAUGAAUAGGUACACUGACUUUACAAUGGGGCUUUUCUCACAAAACCGCAUAUUUCAGCAAGGUAAAGCUUGGUGCUUAAUAUCGAAUUUUGUUCAUACACUUGUCAAAUGGCUUCCACCAGCUGUAGCCAAUUAGAUGACCUCCUUUGAAGUUAAGUUACAGCCCCUACCCUCAGGUGUUUCUCAGUCUGGUACUGUACAGUGGCGUAACAAUAGGUUCAAUGGACAGACAACAUGGCCACCCCCAUUAAAAAAAUCAUGUUUUUUGACAUCGGUGCUGUUGUUAGCAUAUUAACUGUUAGCAUACUUGUAAGAACAUUAGCAUGAUAAAAAAAUGUGUUAGCUUUUUAGCUAAUUGUGUAUGUUUAAACCUAAAAAUCAUGAAUUUGGAUACUUGGCACCAUCUUAGAAGUGUGCUAACGUCUAUAAUAUCUGCAUGCUAUCUUGUCCUAUGCCAUCAUGCUAACAUUUUAUACUAGCUUUUUAGCUACUUUUGAAUGUUUAAACCUAAAAAUAAUGGAUUUGGAUAUUUGGCGCUAUCUUAGAAGUAUGCCGCCUUCGACUGAGCCCAGGCAGGGGUUCAGGGCAAAGAUAGCAGGCCCAUCACAAUUUUUGAGGGAAUUUUGUUGUACAAUAAUACAAUUAAUAGUAUACUGAAGAAGUAAACAAAAUAUUACAUAAAAUAAUUAUUUUUAGAAGAAAAUACGAGUUGACCACUUAAAAGUAAAACUAUGAUAUGACAAGUGAUAAAUACAAGCAAGUCAAGUCCAAUAAAGUGUGACUUGUGCAAUUCUGCAACCAUCAGCUAUAAACACUAACCAUUAUUUUACAGAAUAAUAGGCAUAUCUGCUUUUUUAGGCCGCAUAUGUAAUAUUUCGGACUAAUUACCAUGUUUCCAUUGUGGAGAACAAUUCUCAGACGAGGAGGAGGUGUGCAGCCUGCCAGUCAGACGCUGUUCCGUCACGAUUUGCAUUAUAAUUAUUAUUUUCAUGUUUAGACUUAAUAAUAGCAGCUUUUUUGAUUAGGUGUUAAAAAAGUGCCAGGCAGUGUUAGUUAGCUACCUGCAGUAAAUUGCCACCAUUGCAGCUGGCGGUGAUACAAUUCCGUCUCGAAACGGAUCGAAAACGCGUCAUUCAUUCAAAGUUUUCACAUGUUGUUUGUGCUAAUGUUUCUGCUAGUGUUUACUCUUUUUGAUAAAAUAUCCAUUUUGCAAGUAUUGCCUAGUUGCCCUGUUGUCUUCCUUUCUCAUGAAUAACUCUCCAGCUUUUGUGCCGCUUUCGCGUGUGACGUCACCACAGGCAACGAUAAGGGAAUCGUUAACAAAACUGGCAAAUGACUCACAAGAAUCGAAACACUGGGAGCCUUUUCCAAACAAGAACCCGGUUUCCAAUUACCAUCCUUAGUGUCAAAAUCAAGGGUGGUAUUAGUAUAUGAUCGAUACUAUAAUGAUUAGGUUAAUAUUUGUAUUUUGUAUUUUUUGUCGUUUUUGUUAAUUAUUGUUUAACUCUGGGAAAAAUUAAUUGGACACAAGAAGACAGAGCAAAAACUCAAUUGAUUUAAAAGAGUAGCACAUAGUAGCUUUUGCUUUUGUUUGGUUCAUGUACUUUUGAAUUUGUUUUGCUCAAACAAUUGUAUGUAAUAAAAGAGAAUAAGAAACUCCUUUAAAUAUGAUGCU